rnacentral:tRNA from 1 species
UGACAAUCUGGUAGGGGGCCUGCGUUUCGGCCGCGGGUGUGGAAGCGGUUGUUUUCUGUCAA